CCCGAGGCGCGAGCCGGGAAGCGCGCUUCCGACGCCUCCCCAGCUGCGCAAGUUAGGACCCGCGGCGUGCCUCUCACUGUUGUGGCUUCUCCCGUUGCGGAGCACAGGCUCCGGAUGCGCAGGCUCAACGACCAUGGCCGAGGGGCACAGCCGCUCCGCGGCAUGCGGGAUCCUCCCGGACCGGAGCACGAACCCGCGUCCCCUGCAUCGGCAGGCGGACUCUCAACCACUGCGCCACCAGGGAAGCCCAGAAUGUUCACCUUUCAAGUCACACGACUUUAGAACCUCCAGUACAAGGCUGAAUAGAAGUGGCAAGAGCAGACAUCCUUGCCUCAUUCCUGACCUUAGGGGGAAAACAUUCAGCCUUUCAUCAUACUUAGAGUCUGUUUCCCCCCCACCCCCCUGCCCUGGUCCAUCUAACUAAAGAAGUGCUUCAACCAGAGUAAACUUGGAAGCUACACGUUGAGGAUGGCGGUCAUCAUCCCAGGUCCCUGAAUGACCGAGUAGAGCAGAGCCAUCCACCUACUUGGAAUGCUGCCUUGGACCAUACUACACUGGACCACCUAAUCAAAUCCUACCUCACAUCUGCAGGAAACAUCCAUGACUACAUCCCUCUCCUUCUUCUUGACCAUCACAUUUAAUAUCGGUUCCCCACAUUUUCUGAUACUUAAGUGUAUUGUUUCCUAUUUGGUUCUUUUUGGUGUAAUCUUGUUUUGUUCUUUAUUUAGUGUGUGCUUCUUGGCUCUUAAGCUAGGAGAUCACAAGA